rnacentral:rRNA from 1 species
CGUGCGGGCUAAUACAUGCAAGUCGAGCGAACUGAUUAGAAGCUUGCUUCUAUGACGUUAGCGGCGGACGGGUGAGUAACACGGGGCAACCUGCCUGUAAGACUGGGAUAACUUCGGGAAACCGAAGCUAAUACCGGAUAGGAUCUUCUCCUUCAUGGGAGAUGAUUGAAAGAUGGUUUCGGCUAUCCUUACAGAGGGCCCGCGGUGCUUAGCUAGUGGUGAGGUAACGGCUCACCAAGGCAACGAUGCAUAGCCACCUGAGAGGGGAUCGGCCACACUGGGACUGAGACACGGCCCAACUCCUACGGGAGGCAGCAGUAGGGAAUCUUCCGCAAUGGACGAAAGUCUGACGGACAACGCCGCGUGAGUGAUGAAGGUUUCGGGUCGUAAAACUCUGUUGUUAGGGAAGAACAAGACGAGAGUAACUGCUCGUACCUUGACGGUACCUAACCAGAAAGCCACGGCUAACUACGUGCCAGCAGCCGGGUAAUACGUAGGUGGCAAGCGUUAUCCGGAAUUAUUGGGCGUAAAGCGCGCGCAGGCGGUUUCUUAAGUCUGAUGUGAAAGCCCACGGCUCAACCGUGGAGGGUCAUUGGAAACUGGGGAACUUGAGUGCAGAAGAGAAAAGCGGAAUUCCACGUGUAGCGGUGAAAUGCGUAGAGAUGUGGAGGAACACCAGUGGCGAAGGCGGCUUUUUGGUCUGUAACUGACGCUGAGGCGCGAAAGCGUGRGGAGCAAACAGGAUUAGAUACCCUGGUAGUCCACGCCGUAAACGAUGAGUGCUAAGUGUUAGAGGGUUUCCCCCUUUAGUGCUGCAGCUAACGCAUUAAGCACUCCGCCUGGGGAGUACGGUCGCAGACUGAAACUCAAGGAAUUGACGGGGGCCCGCACAAGCGGUGGAGCAUGUGGUUUAAUUCGAAGCAACGCGAAGAACCUUACCAGGUCUUGACAUCCUCUGACACUCUAGAAUAGAGCGUUCCCCUUCGGGGGACAGAGUGACAGGUGGUGCAUGUUGUCGUCAGCUCGUGUCGUGAGAUGUUGGUUAAGUCCCGCACGAGCGCACCCUUGAUCUUAGUUGCUAGCAUUCAGUGGCACUUACGGUGACUGCGUGACAACGAAGAGGGUGGGCAUGACGUCAAUCAUCAUGCCUUUAUACCGGGCCUUACAGG